GGGCCAGAAGCAGCAGCGCCACCAGCAGUGCUGCGCGUCCCGCUUGCUUCAUGGUGCCACCGGCCCUAGACACACGGGUUGCGCAGGGUGAGGUUAUCGGAGAGUGUCUGCCUGAUGCAAGACGGAGCUCCAGUCUCUGUCCCUCGGGCUGGACUGAGGGCUCCUUGGGGAGCACAGGGUCUGUCCCGGGACUGCCGCCAGCCUUAUAUAGCGCUAGGACAGCUCCGACUGACGUCAGCCAAGAACAUGAACUGAUUGUAGAAGCAAUGACAGCAACUUUGAGUCCAGAGGUUUCGAGCCCCCAGAGCGGUACAUUUCUUGACAUUUGACUUAGUGUCCCUAGGGCUAGCACUGGAAGCAGCAUUAGAAUUGGAAGAGUGAGAAACCGGCUCCUGAAGUCUAGGCCAUGAAGAUUGCUCUACGACCCGAGUCCUUCUCCCUGUCUAGAACAGACAGCAGAGACUAGAGCUGGUUGCCACAWCAGACUAACCUGGGUUCCUGGCCUCUGGCACACAGAAGGGARGUGGGACCGUGGCGCUGUCUAUGGUGCUGACCCUGUCUUUAGAUGCGAAGAACUGUCAAGAAGCCUGGGGGAGAACUCUGGGAUGCUCAGAUCCAGUCCCUAGCCCAUUAUCAGGUUGUAGACUGGGGGAAUCCAGAACCUAUGCUGGCACUCAGCCAACACUAUAGGCAGCCCGCCACAACUUAAGUAUCCCCAGACUCUUGACCUUAUUAUAGUCCUGGAAUCUAAAUUCUACAGCUGUCUGAGCACCAAACACGAGGAUUUCUGGCUGGGCCAUUUGUUUCUGAGUUUCUUCAAAGUGGAAGUUUAACAAAUACCAGUUUUUCUCCCAGAAAUCAUAACAGCAGUAUUAUGCCUUUGCCCCUGUAGUUAAGAUCAGUAGGCAGGAAAUAAGAAAAUUGGGUUCAAGUUUUUAUUCUGCCACUCUUGGACAGGUUACCUCACUUCCACAGACCUUAGCGUCUGCAUUUGUAAAAGAAGACUUGGAGGAUGUAGGCUUCUUUCCAUCAAUAGCUAUUUUUAUAGUUUUCUCCUGGGUCUUACUCCUGACCUCUGCACGUUCCAGAUUAUGUAUUUAAAACAUUUACUGAAGCACAAUAAAGAGUUUGAAGGGAUCCCAAAGAGCACUAGGGUUGGGAAGGGCUAUAGUAACAGACAUGUAAAUGAAAAGUUGGCAUGAGUGGGAAUAAGACUAUGUCGUGUGCCAUAAACAAUGUUUCAGUCAAUGACAGACCACAUACAUAAUGGUGACCCUAUAAAAUUGUAAUGGAGUUGGAAACUCCUAUCCUACCACCUAGUGACAUGGUAACUGUUUUAACAUCACAGCACAAUGCAUUAAUCCUAUGUUUGUAGUGAUGCUGGUGGGAACAAACCUACUGCAUCACCAGUUGCUUUAAAGUAUAGCAUGUAUGACUUAUGUGCAGCACAUAAAACUUGAUAAUAAUAAUAAAGACAAUAUUACUGGUUUA